rnacentral:rRNA from 1 species
GACGAACGCUGGCGGCGUGCUUAACACAUGCAAGUCGAACGGAAAGGCCCUGCUUUUGUGGGGUGCUCGAGUGGCGAACGGGUGAGUAACACGUGAGUAACCUGCCCUUGACUUUGGGAUAACUUCAGGAAACUGGGGCUAAUACCGGAUAGGAGCUCCUGCUGCAUGGUGGGGGUUGGAAAGUUUCGGCGGUUGGGGAUGGACUCGCGGCUUAUCAGCUUGAUGGUGGGGUAGUGGCUUACCAAGGCUUUGCGCGGUAGCCGGGCUGGUAGGGGGACCGGCCACAUUGGGACUGAGAUGCGGCCCAGACUCCUACGGGAGGCAGCAGAGGAGAAUAUUGCACAAUGGGCGGAAGCCUGAUGCAGCACAGCCGCGUGCCGGAUGACGGCCUUCGGGUUGUAAACCACUUUCGCCUGUGACGAAGCGUGAGUGACGGUAAUGGGUAAAGAAGCACCGGCUAACUACGUG